AUUGAGCGCUGGCGGCAGGCCUAACACAUGCAAGUCGAGCGGAUGAAGGGAGCUUGCUCCUGGAUUCAGCGGCGGACGGGUGAGUAAUGCCUAGGAAUCUGCCUGGUAGUGGGGGAUAACGUCCGGAAACGGGCGCUAAUACCGCAUACGUCCUGAGGGAGAAAGUGGGGGAUCUUCGGACCUCACGCUAUCAGAUGAGCCUAGGUCGGAUUAGCUAGUUGGUGGGGUAAAGGCCUACCAAGGCGACGAUCCGUAUCUGGUCUGAGAGGAUGAUCAGUCACACUGGAACUGAGACACGGUCCAGACUCCUACGGGAGGCGGCAGUGGGGAAUAUUGGACGAUGGGCGAAAGCCUGAUCCAGCCAUGCCGCGUGUGUGAAGAAGGUCUUCGGAUUGUAAAGCACUUUAAGUUGGGAGGAAGGGCAGUAAGUUAAUACCUUGCUGUUUUGACGUUACCAACAGAAUAAGCACCGGCUAACUUCGUG
rnacentral:rRNA from 1 species